CAGCCUUCUCGGAUGUCUUUUUGAAUCAAUGUCUUCUGGCACUGUGUGGACUUGGCGAGACACCAACCUGAGCACAGUGAGACUCGGUAUCGCAGGCCGUCACAGACGUAGUCCCUGAAAACUGGGACAAACAGAAAACAAAGUAAGGAAAAAGCGAGCAUGCAGAACAGAGCAGCUUGCUGCUUGAAUUCAUCUGAGUGCAAACUCAGUGCCGCUGUAUCACUGCUUCGAUCAGAAGACAAAAGCAACCGCAGUUUCUAAUCCCCCACAGCUGCAACUGUUAACCGAGAUCAAAAUGAUGGAGACUGCCGUCUACUGGAUACUGAGUCAAUGAUGAAAGAUAGCAAAUUUGCCUACUCAGAGGGAAUCAUAGAAUGGCCUGGGUUGAGAAGGACCACAAUGAUCAUCGAGUUUCAACCCCCCUGCUAUGUGCAGGGUCGCCAACCACCAGACCAGGCUGCCCAGAGCCACAUCCAGCCUGGCCUUGAAUGCCUCCAGGGAUGGGGCAUCCACAGCCUCCUUGGGCAGCCUGUUCCAGUGUGUCACCACCCUCUGGGUGAGAUUGUCCCCUCCAGCCUGUAUGUCUUACCUAAUCUGUCAAAUCUCCUCGUGGAGAGUAGGACCUCUGUCACUGCAUUUCAGAACAAGGCACUCUAUAACUGGCAAAUACUGGUGCAAAAACGUGAAUCUUUUUUUACCUGUUGCAUCCACUUUAGCAAUCUCUACUGGCUUCAAAAUAUGCAUGUAAUCCUAUACUGAAUAAUCUCUUUUCAUAUAGCCUGUGCUAAUCUUAACACUAUGAUGUCAUCCAAAAUCCACAGUAUUGGUGAAACAUGUUUUAAUAUUCCAGCUCUUUUGAUCAUCCCUCGUAAAUCAAUCCCUCAAUCUCUUUAAUUAUUUUAAUUGCUCUUCUUUAAAUUCCCCUUGAGUGUAAUUUUCUAAUAGGAAGAUUUCCCAAAAUAUCCCAGGCAUGACUUAGUUAAGUAGUAGGCAAAGAGUAGUCAUGCCAAAGGAACGGAAGAGAAAAAUCUGUUAGUUUCUUCCUCAGUGAUUCACUUCACUUGGAGGGGCAUCUGUGGGCUUUCUGAUAUGUCUGCUCUGUAAGACCACAUAUAAUUUACUGUCUGCUUUCACUCCUACAGGUCAAUACUGCAGAUUUCUUCCUUUUGCUGAAUGUUUUCCUGUGGCUAUACCAAGAUUUCCAAGAUCUCGUUUCUGCAGAUUCCUGCAAGAGAGGAGCCAAGAGCUGUAACGUUCGUAGUGCCUGACAACAUUAAUCAUCGAUCCUAUUGCGAACUGCUUCUGGGUGGGAUGUUUCUGGGUUUGUAACUACAUAUGGCUCCUAUCAUUUGCGGCUUCCGCAAGCAAUUCUAGUUAUCCUUCAUUAAAAAGACUUUAAAUAAAAGGUUUUAAAGAUUCUCCAGCGCUAGCGAAGCCAUGGGAAGGCAGCAACCUCUCUGCUCGGUAAGGGCAGGGGUGAGGAGCAGCUCCGUGGCCCCAACGCUGGGGCUGCCCUUGCUGUUGGUAGCUGCUCCAUGGCCCCGGCGCUAGGAGACCGUCCAGGAAUUUCGUUGCAGGGGACCGAAUCUUAAAGGAAACGGGGGUUGUUUUUGUUUUUUUUUUCCCCUAGCCGCACGGUGCGGGCGGGAGCCGCCUGAGGGAGCGCCCUCCGCCGCCAUCUCCCGCCUUUUUCUUCCCCCUCCCCGGCUCGCAACCGCGGCUGCCAUCUCGCCACCCCCACGCCACCCUCCCCC
ensembl:lncRNA